rnacentral:lncRNA from 1 species
UUGUUUUUGUUUUUGUUUUUUUAAUAACAAAAUUGAAAACAAAGCUAAGUAGCAAAGGCUAAAGCAGAUCUUGUUUCGGAAUGUUUCUACUCUGAUCAGAAUGAAUAACACCAAGAGAUGAGCGUAAGCAUGAUUACAACAAGUGCCAAAGGGUUGCCGAUUCUAUUAGGAGAGAAGACAAUUCUUCAGAUCCCUGGAUUAAGUCAUGAUUAGUCCGAUGAUAAACAAUUCUUCAGAUCCCUGGACAAUAAGAUCUAAAGCCGAAGAACUAAUAGAUCAACGAAGGCAAAACUCAAAGAUCUGUCAUAUCAAGUAGCCGACAUACUCGUCAUCUUAUACUGUGUCUUAAUGAUCCUGCUUACGAAAACAGGGUGGUCUUAACGUACGUCAAGGAACGUCAGGAAUCAGGAUCAGUGAUGAAGAUCGAAAUCUCAAAGGAUACUCGUCAAGGUUGUACUCGUUUGUCGUCGUCAAGCUCAAGCUCGGGAUCUUCGUCUUCACGUCCUUUAACUACCAACGCAGUCAAGCAAACAAAUAUUUAGCCAAAGAUCGUGUUGCUCACCCUUAUCAUGCGACGAUCUGAUCAACACAUAUCCAGCAC